rnacentral:misc_RNA from 1 species
GCGAGCCUGAUUCAGUGAUUGUCUCCCUUCUCUUGCUUCUCUUCUCAAAAUGGAAGGCUCUGAUGGCAGCACUGGGAGUAGUGGGUCAUCCUCAAAAUGUUCAUUGUCACCUCCUUUAGAGUCGAAAGACCUUCCUUGUACUAGACGAGCCAUGUUUCUCAAAAUACAAUGAGACAUAUUCUUACAAUGAUCCAAUCACUGAACUGAUUGACUGUCUCUUUGUUAAGUAUGACUUCAACGCAGCACAAGACAGACUAAACGAGUGUGAAAAGCUGUUGGCCUCUCCAGAUCUCCUUCCAAUUAAUUCUUUUCCAUCAUCAUCAUCAUCAGUACCUCCUGGUGGGGCAGUUGGUGACGGAGACUUUCUAGAAGAACCCUUAACAUCCUCGCUGCCUCCAGUUUCUAUUCCAAUACUUAGGUACCAGUAUCUCAGUCUCAGCCCACUGAUGUGCAUGAACCACGACUGAAAACAAACCCAGAAAAUGUUCUAUCUGAAAUAACAAGCAGAUUGAGACUUUGAAGUCACAAGUUCUAAUAAAAUAAGCUUUGAUCCACUUCUACUAACUGAAGUACAUGAACAACUUUUAUUGCACUGUACAUGGUCCAAUUGCAUUAACUACACAUGUGCAUGUAUUUCUUUUCUUUGAUUUGUGAUUAUGAAACAAUGUUCAUGAUUUAACAACU